AUUGAACGCUGGCGGCAGGCCUAACACAUGCAAGUCGAGCGGAUCGGCGGACGGGUGAGUAAUUCCUCGGCAUCUUCCUGGUCGUGGUGGAUAACGUCCGGAAACGGGCGCUAAUACCGCAUACUAUCCGCUUAGCCUAGGUCGGAUUAGCUAGUGGGGGGGGUAAUGGCCUACCAAGGCGACGAUCCGUAACUGGGCUGAGAGGAUGAUCAGUCACACUGGAACGGAGACACGGUCCAGACUCCUACGGGAGGCAGCAGUGGGGAAUAUUGGACAAUGGGCGAAAGCCGGAUCCAGCAAUGCCGCGUGUGUGAAGAAGGUCUUCGGAUUGUAAAGCACUUUAAGUUGGGAGGCGUUACCAACAGAAUAAGCACCGGCUAACUUCGUGCCAGCAGCCGCGGUAAUAC
rnacentral:rRNA from 1 species